rnacentral:rRNA from 1 species
AACGAACGCUGGCGGCAUGCCUAACACAUGCAAGUCGAACGAGACCUUCGGGUCUAGUGGCGCACGGGUGCGUAACACGUGGGAAUCUGCCCUUUGCUUCGGAAUAACAGUUAGAAAUGACUGCUAAUACCGGAUGAUGUCGAAAUACCAAAGAUUUAUCGGCAAAGGAUGAGCCCGCGUAGGAUUAGGUAGUUGGUGGGGUAAAGGCCUACCAAGCCGACGAUCCUUAGCUGGUCUGAGAGGAUGAUCAGCCACACUGGGGCUGAGACACGGCCCAGACUCCUACGGGAGGCAGCAGUGGGGAAUAUUGGACAAUGGGCGAAAGCCUGAUCCAGCAAUGCCGCGUGAGUGAUGAAGGCCUUAGGGUUGUAAAGCUCUUUUACCAGGGAUGAUAAUGACAGUACCUGGAGAAUAAGCUCCGGCUAACUCCGUG